rnacentral:rRNA from 1 species
GACGAACGCUGGCGGCGUGCUUAACACAUGCAAGUCGAACGGAAAGGCCCUGCUUGCAGGGUACUCGAGUGGCGAACGGGUGAGUAACACGUGGGUGAUCUGCCCUGCACUUCGGGAUAAGCCUGGGAAACUGGGUCUAAUACCGGAUAGGAGCCAUUUUUAGUGUGAUGGUUGGAAAGUUUUUUCGGUGUAGGAUGAGCUCGCGGCCUAUCAGCUUGUUGGUGGGGUAAUGGCCUACCAAGGCGGCGACGGGUAGCCGGCCUGGGAGGGGGGACGGCCACAUUGGGGCUGGGGUACGGCCCAGACUCCUACGGGGGGCAGCAGUGGGGGAUAUUGCACAAUGGGCGCGAGCCUGAUGCAGCGACGCCGCGUGGGGGAUGACGGCCUUCGGGUUGUAAACUCCUUUCGCUAGGGACGAAGCUUUGUGUGACGGUACCUAGAUAAGAAGCACCGGCUAACUACGUG